rnacentral:rRNA from 1 species
GACGAACGCUGGCGGCGUGCUUAACACAUGCAAGUCGAACGGAAAGGCCCUGCUUUUGUGGGGUGCUCGAGUGGCGAACGGGGGAGUAACACGUGAGUAACCUGCGCUUGACAUUGGGAUAACAUCAGGAAACUGGGGCUAAUACAGGAUAGGAGCCCCUGCUGCAGGGUGGGGGUGGGAAAGUUUCGGCGGUUGGGGAUGGACUCGCGGCUUAUCAGCUUGUUGGUGGGGUAGUGGCUUACCAAGGCAUUGACGGGUAGCCGGCCUGAGAGGGUGACCGGCCACAUUGGAACUGAGAUACGGCCCAGACUGCGACGGGAGGCAGCAGUGGGGAAUAUUGCACAAUGGGCGGAAGCCUGAUGCAGAAACGCCGCGUGCGGGAUGACGCCCUUCGGGUUGUAAACCGCUUUCGCCUGUGACGAAGCGUGAGUGACGGUAAUGGGUAAAGAAGCACCGGCUAACUACGUG